GCCCCGCUAGCUCAAUUGGCUAGAGCGUAAGACUUUUACCGCGAGGCAGAGAUCUUAAGGUUGCGAGUUCGACCCUCGCGUGGGGCU